rnacentral:rRNA from 1 species
CCUACGGGGGGCUGCAGUCGAGAAUCAUUCACAAUGGGCGAAACCCUGAUGGUGCGACGCCGCGUGGGGGAAUGAAGGUCUUCGGAUUGUAAACUCCUGUCAUGUGGGAGCAAAUUAAAAAGAUAGUACCACAAGAGGAAGAGACGGCUAACUCUGUGCCAGCAGCCGCGGUAAUACAGAGGUCUCAAGCGUUGUUCGAAAUCACUGGGCGUAAAGCGUGCGUAGGCGGUUUCGUAAGUCGUGUGUGAAAUGCGGGGGCUCAACGCGCGGACGGAAACUGAAACUGGGAGACUAGAGUGAGGGAGGGGGAAGCGGAAUGCUAGGUGGAGGAGGGAAAUGCGUAGAUAUCGGGAGGAACACUCGUGGCGAAGGCGGGUUCCUGGAAAUUAACUGACGCUGAGGAACGAAGGCGAGGGGAGCGAAAGGGAUUAGAUACCCGAGUAGUC